GUACAUGAAAACCCAAACUCAUUCAUUCACGAAAAAAACUAAGUUCUCAACUCCUGCACCCAAACCCUAAACCCUAUUACUCACAAACCUUCCCUUUCUCUUCCCCUUCCCACCACGUUCUUCAUCCGACUCUUCACCACGACGUCGUUCUCCGUGAAGAAACCUUCACCAGAGUCUACGACCUCGCAGCCGCUCCUGCUCGUUGCUAAGCCUCGCCGCCGCUCCUGCUCCUUGCUAAGUCUCGCCGCCGCUCGUUCUCUGUGACUCGCCGCCGCUCCUGCUCUGUGAAUCGGUUUGCUUACAAGAUUCUUCACUUGUGGGUAGUGUUGUUGAAAGUCUCAAAACUUCUGGCCUGCUUCGUGCUGCUGAAAUUGCAACUUCUUUGAGUGAUUCAGGACAAAAGUGGUUUGGGCAUCUUCUAGGUGUUAAUCUCCAAAGCAUUGAGUGAUCCAUCAGGUUCUUUGUAAACCUUUAUUAUCACUUCAUUUAUCAAUUACUUUCAUAAUUCUUUGGAAUUUGGAUGUUCUAUCUGUUUCUUUGAUGCCAAAAGAUCAUGAAACUUGCUUUUUAAAUACAAAACUAUUCUUUCAUCUUUUCUUUACAUACAAAGACUUGCAUUGUUAUCUAACUGUUAAAAGAGAAAGAAUUAUUCUGAAUUGAAAUUGUGUGUGAUUUAAUUAUGUGUGAUGACAAAGCUGUUGAAAUUGCUGCUGAAAUUGAGCUAUUUAAACUGCUUCUUGGGACUGUUAUUUGCAUUCUGAAUUGCAGGGAACAAAGAUGACAAGGGGAGCUAUCUCCAUGAAGUGAUGCACAAUAGGAAGAUUUUUUGCAAGUUGUUGCAGGGCCACGUCUUCUUGCUCUUGUUGGAUCGCCCUCCUUGUUGCUUGUCAUCUAUGCAUUGUUCAAUUCUCUGGUUUUGGAUUUGGUGCCAGUGUUGAUUAGGCCGGUGAUUGUGAAGAAAGCUGACAAAACUGGUAUUCCAGUAAGAAUUGGUAAGAAGAACCCAUAUGACUGGACUUAUGCAGAGGCUGAGUUAAAAAGGCACCUUGGAGAAAAGAUUUUUAUUUAUGGGUUCAAAGUUGCUCACCUCCGCUGCUCUCCUAAUUUAUGCUUAUGGUGCUGGUGGCUUUCCUGCUUGGGGCAUUAAUUUGCUGAACUGUUGCAGUUUUGCUGAAUUGUUGCUGUGUUGUUGUUUAACUAUUUUGUCCUAAUUUCAUGAGCUGUUGCUGUUUAACUACAUUUAAAGAACUAGAAUUGCUGAAUUGUUCUAGUUCUUUUAGGCUAUUAUGUUUUUUUGCUGGGACCUUGGAUGUUUAACUCAUUUGAGAGAGUGUGUUCUCAAGAUCUCUUUUUAUUUUAAUAAAUUUUCAUUAAAAACAAAA